UACGAAGGGGGCUAGCGUUGCUCGGAAUCACUGGGCGUAAAGCGCACGUAGGCGGAUCUUUAAGUCAGGGGUGAAAUCCCAAGCUCAACCUUGGAACUGCCUUUGAUACUGGGGAUCUCGAGUCCGGAAGAGGUUGGUGGAACUGCGAGUGUAGAGGUGAAAUUCGUAGAUAUUCGCAAGAACACCAGUGGCGAAGGCGGCCAACUGGCCCGAUACUGACGCUGAGGUGCGAAAGCGUGGG
rnacentral:rRNA from 1 species